rnacentral:rRNA from 1 species
CCUACGGGAGGCAGCAGUGGGGAAUCUUGCACAAUGCGCGAAAGCGUGAUGCAGCAACGCCGCGUGCGGGAAGAAGGCCUUAGGGUUGUAAACCGCUUUCAGUUGGGACGAAGCUUCAGUCGUUAAUAGCGGUUUGGAGUGACGGUACCUUCAGAAGAAGCGCCGGCUAACUACGUGCCAGCAGCCGCGGUAAUACGUAGGGCGCGAGCGUUGUCCGGAAUCAUUGGGCGUAAAGCGCGUGUAGGCGGCUGAGUAAGUCUGCUGUGAAAGUCCAGGGCUCAACCCUGGAAUGUCGGCGGAUACUGCUCAGCUGGAGUACGGGAGGGGCGAGUGGAAUUCCUGGUGUAGCGGUGGAAUGCGCAGAUAUCAGGAGGAACACCUAUGGCGAAGGCAGCUCGCUGGAACGUUACUGACGCUGAGACGCGAAAGCGUGGGGAGCAAACAGGAUUAGAUACCCUGGUAGUCCACGCUGUAAACGAUGGAUACUAGGUGUGGGGGUGUCGAACUCCCUCCGUGCCGAAGCUAACGCAUUAGAUCCGCCUGGGGNGAGCGCGAGAGAACGACGAGAGUUAGAGCGNGAGAGNGCGAGCGACGACGAGGAGGAGG